UAAACAUUGAUAAAUUUUACACCAACUAUCCGCCUGGGAACUACGAGCAUUAGCUUAAAACCCAAAGGACUUGGCGGUGCUUAAGAUCCCCCUAGAGGAGCCUGUUCUAGAACCGAUAAUCCACGUUCAACCUCACCCUCUCUUGUUUUUUCAGUCUAUAUACCGCCGUCGUCAGCUUACCCUGUGAAGGUUUCAUAGUGAGCGAAAAUGGCACAGCCCAAAACGUCAGGUCGAGGUGUAGCACAUGAGAGGGGAAGAAAUGGGCUACAUUCCCUAAAUAUAGGAGCAAUACGGAUGAUAUAUUGAAAUAUAUAUUUUAAGGAGGAUUUAGCAGUAAGUGAAAAUCAGAAUAUUUCACUGAACUCGGCUCUAAAGCGCGC
rnacentral:rRNA from 1 species